rnacentral:lncRNA from 1 species
CAAAAAUUUCAGUAUUAUUUUUCCAAUUUCUAAAUAAAAGCCUGAUAGUGUUUUUAUUGAAAUUGGGAUGACUCUCUAGAACAAUUUGAGAAGAGAUGGGACAGGACAAGCUUGAAAGUCAUGUACUUGAUACUAAAUGAAAUACUUUGAAGUACAGAAGCCAAGAGAUAAGGGAUUAAUCAAGAAAUCACUGAAGAGGAUGCCUGUCAUGGCUGGACGGGAAACUACACAAAAAAAAUCCUUCCCUUGUAACUUGGAAGUGUUUUGAAGCAGGCUUUCUUGACACCUUCACCUUAGACAGUAACAAAAUACAAGUUGACAUUUAUGGUUAAUAAAUGAUCCAGAUAGCAGCUAACAAAUUUUUUUGUGUCCCUGAAUUUCUCAGGUUCAAUAUGGUUAUGUGUAAUAGUGAAAAAAAAAAAACAAACAGGUUUGAGAUGACAUAAUCUGUAGUCUACAAUAAUCAUCCUCUAAAUGUGAGAAAUUUGAAAGUCUGGCAUUACUUUUUUAUAAACAAGGGCUUAAUAGUUUCCAAAAAACCUAUAAAAUCAUAAAGCAGAUAAUUUGCUCUUGUCUCCUAGGGAGUUCAUCUUGUUUAGCAUCACUUAACUUACCUAUGAUAUCUCAGGACAGGACUCUGAGGAGUUUCCUUGCUUGUUUAAG